rnacentral:rRNA from 1 species
UAGUGGCAGACGGGUGAGUAAUGCGUAGGAAUCUACCUAGUAGUAUGGAAUAGCCAUUAGAAAUGAUGGGUAAUACUGUAUAAUCCCUGCGGGGGAAAGAUUUAUCGCUAUUAGAUGAGCCUACGUUAGAUUAGCUAGUUGGUAAGGUAAUGGCUUACCAAGGCUAUGAUCUAUAGCUGGUCUGAGAGGACGAUCAGCCACACUGGAACUGAGAUACGGUCCAGACUCCUACGGGAGGCAGCAGUGGGGAAUAUUGGACAAUGGGCGAAAGCCUGAUCCAGCUAUGCCGCGUGAGUGAAGAAGGCCUUCGGGUUGUAAAGCUCUUUCAAUAGGGAAGAUA